rnacentral:rRNA from 1 species
CCUACGGGAGGCAGCAGUGGGGAAUAUUGGACAAUGGGGGCAACCCUGAUCCAGCCAUGCCGCGUGUGUGAAGAAGGCCCUCGGGUUGUAAAGCACUUUCAGUGAGGAAGAACGCCUGGUGGUUAAUACCCAGCAGGAAAGACAUCACUCACAGAAGAAGCACCGGCUAACUCCGUGCCAGCAGCCGCGGUAAUACGGAGGGUGCGAGCGUUAAUCGGAAUUACUGGGCGUAAAGCGCGCGUAGGUGGCUUGAUAAGCCGGUUGUGAAAGCCCCGGGCUCAACCUGGGAACGGCAUCCGGAACUGUCAAGCUAGAGUGCAGGAGAGGAAGGUAGAAUUCCCGGUGUAGCGGUGAAAUGCGUAGAGAUCGGGAGGAAUACCAGUGGCGAAGGCGGCCUUCUGGACUGACACUGACACUGAGGUGCGAAAGCGUGGGUAGCAAACAGGAUUAGAUACCCGAGUAGUC